rnacentral:rRNA from 1 species
GGAGUUUGGGCCGUGUCUCAGUCCCAAUGUGGCCGUACACCCUCUCAGGCCGGCUACUGAUCGUCGCCUUGGUGGGCCGUUACCUCACCAACUAGCUAAUCAGACGCGGGUCCAUCUCACACCACCGGAGUUUUUCACACCAUACCAUGCGGUAUUGUGCGCUUAUGCGGUAUUAACAGUCGUUUCCAACUGUUAUCCCCCUGUGUGAGGCAGGUUACCCACGCGUUACUCACCCGUCCGCCACUAAGUAUUCCAACCUUGAGUCAAUCAGAAGCAAGCUUCGUCAAUCCUCGGGAGGAAUACUCCGUUCGACUUGCAUGUGUUAAGCACGCCGCCAGCGUUUAUCCUGAGCCACGGAUCAAACUACU